AGCGGAUGUCCACGUCCUCCAGCGUGCUCCCGCCCGAGAUGCACAGGGCCUCCCUGAAGGCGGCGGCCGAGUAGGAGAGGUACACACUGAUCCCAGCCAGGGUGAUCAGAGCUGCGCGGGAGGAGAGCGAUACGGACGGCGCUGGAGCCAAUCGUCCUGUUUCCCCCCUAGCAAUCAGCCGGCCGAGGCCGUGACCGUGCACCGAGCAGGGGAAAGAGUACCGACCUACACGCGGAGGCCGCUUGGCCGUCCUGUAAUUAUGAACAAGUUGAAGACGCCAGUGGUGAUGAACACAAAGAAUGGUAAUGACGAUAACAACCACAGAAGCAAAUUAAAACGCUGCUUAAUGAGAAGUCGGCUUUGCUCAGAAAGGUCACUGUAUUCCCUUGCAGUCGGCAGGCGUGAACCUGCCAUUGUUCUGUUGCUACAGCGAUGUGCAGGCCCACGUCCUGCCUGUCCGUAACUUCAGCGUGCUGGAGCGUUUUCCUACUGAAAUCGGACACCGUGUGCUUCAUGGUCACUUAUGAGCGCAGGCCUUGUAUAUCAGAUUGGUGUGUUGCUGCUACCUGCUUCAACAACAGGGAGGCAGAAUGAGUUGAGUAUGUGGGAAGGCUGCAUGUUCUGUGACUUCCAGAACGUUUCAUCAUGCAGAAGAAACAGCUGAAGAGUUUAUGCACAAUGGAAGCUUCAGUUUCCAGAACAAACUGGAUUGGUUAUCGCCAGAUGUCUCACCCGCUUGAAACGGUGUAGGGACUGUGUGCGGAUGCAGCCUACUGUCUCGUAUGAAAUUCUGACAGAGCCAGUGUUGACUGUAGCCAGCAGUACCGCAGGAUGGGGCAUUAUUGGGCAAUCUGAGAGAGGGAUCCUGUAGGCUGGAUUGUCCUUGUGCCAUCGGACAGCACAAACACCGCAGCAGAGGUGGAAAAUCCAGGUUCAGAAAGUAAAAAUCCUCCCCAGUAUUUUGUUCAAGUCACUUGGAAUUGCUAAUUAGCACAAUUCUUCAGCCAACUAAUUAGUGAAAUCAGCUGGCUGAGUUCAUGGGUGGUAGCAACACAUGGCAGGACUUUUGCAUUCGGGCGCCUGGACUUUCCGCCUCUGCACUGCAGACUGAUGAGGAAAAAGAGCCCAAAUCCCACAGCCCCCUCAGCAUCAGGCACAUGGCAAUGGCACAUCAGGGGUGCGUUUGCAGGAACCUGACCGGUAUGCUGAUGUUUUUCAGAGUCCCAAAUCUUUGUGUUUGUCUGCACUUUUAAUAAAAAAGUACCACUUCAUUAUCAACACCCGGAUUCUCAGCGGGGCAGUGGAAAUGAGUAGAAACUGGCAGGCUUGCCGCGUGAGGCUGAAAAAUUUUCUUUAAACCCCUUUUAAUUACAGCAGUCUUUAUGAAAUUAAUUAUGCCAUCUCGCAUGUGUCACCACAGCCAUCUUUAUGAAAUUAUUUAUAAUGUCUCACGUGUCACCACAGCCAUCUUUAUGAAAUGAAUUACAACGUCUCGCAUGUGUCACCACAGAGUGAUCUGUAUCCCCCCACUGUUUGUCUAAAUGGCGGGGUAACUAUUAAAAAUAAAAGAAAAUUCAUAACA